UACGAGGGGGGGCAAAUGUUGUUCGGAAUCACUGGGCGUAAAGGGCGCGUAGGCGGCCAUUCAAGUGACGGGUGAAAGCCCUCGGCUUAACCGAGGAACUGCCUGUCAGACUGGAUGGCUUGAGACCGGGAGAGGUGAGUGGAAUUCCCAGUGUAGCGGUGAAAUGCGUAGAUAUUGGGAGGAACACCAGUGGCGAAGGCGGCUCACUGGACCGGAACUGACGCUGAGGCGCGAAAGCGUGGGGAGCAAACAGG
rnacentral:rRNA from 1 species